AAUCCAUAGGUUAAUGAGGCGAACCGGGGGAACUGAAACAUCUAAGUACCCCGAGGAAAAGAAAUCAACCGAGAUUCCCCCAGUAGCGGCGAGCGAACGGGGAGGAGCCCAGAGCCUGAAUCAGCAUGUGUGUUAGUGGAAGCGUCUGGAAAGGCGCGCGAUACAGGGUGACAGCCCCGUACACAAAAGCGCAUGUGCUGUGAGCUCGAUGAGUAGGGCGGGACACGUGGUAUCCUGUCUGAAUAUGGGGGGACCAUCCUCCAAGGCUAAAUACUCCUGACUGACCGAUAGUGAACCAGUAC
rnacentral:rRNA from 1 species